rnacentral:lncRNA from 1 species
GCCGGAGAAAUUCUAGCAGCCAACCCGGACCACAUCUUAAGCAAGCCGUGCUCUCAAGGCGUCACCACCAAGAUCUUGAUCGUGUCGCCGGACUCGGACCUGAAGAGGGGCCAUAUCUAUUUCCUGAUUCCAGAAUCAGCGCUCCCAGGAAAAGAGAGGAAGAAGAGGCACCAGAAAAGUGGCAGCACUGCUGUCGUCCAGGAAUUGGGCCAUGACAGCUGCCUGAGGCAGGUCCUUUCGGAAAAGAAGGUUCGGCACCGCCGGCGGAGGAGCGGCCAGGUGGGCGUC